GGAGAAUCUAAGACUUCUGAAGAGUUUCUUGCUUCUUUCCUGUGGGGCAGUGACUCCACUUCCCAGCAGUAAUGGAAUAUCCUGAAUUAGCUACAUUAAUGUUAGAACCAUUUGGACCUCACCCAGGACUUCAACUACAUUAUGCUAAAGUUACAGAACCCAAAUUUGGCAACUGUCUGCAUCUGAACAACAGAAGUUUCAACAUUCUGCCAACAGAGUAACUCCUGGACGAUUGGCACAGAAGGCACAAGGCAAAUACCUAUCUCUGUACACCCUGUGCUACUGUGUCAUGUGCUGCUCCAGGCAACUCCAAUGGAUUGGCCACCCUGGCCAAUGUGUGAGUUAUAAAGCAAUGAUGUGUAGCUAUUGAACCUACAAUUUGGUUAAAGUUAAACUCUCAAGUUUUAUAUGUUUACAAGCAUAUUGUCCUUUUGUUAAUUUCCUCCCCGUACUCAUUUCUUGACUUCUUUUAGUUUUACUAUGUAGUAAUUUUUAAAAUGUUAGUCAAAGUUAGUUAAUUUAAUUCACUUAGCAGAUUUUCCUGUAAUUUUGGUUAAACAGUAUCCUUUCUGUACAGGCCCUCCAAACACCAGCACUGAGUAGAAAGAGGCUCUGAUUCAUGAAAUGUGAAUUUAUGACAGUUGCCACUCUUAAAAAAAAAACAAACAGACAGAACUUGAGCAAUACAUGACUGAUGCAUUCUCAGCCU
rnacentral:sRNA from 1 species